rnacentral:lncRNA from 1 species
UUGGCAAUAAGCCAUGUGUGUGUGCAUGGCGCGUAGGUGCGCGUGUGUGCGUCGCGUGUGUUUGUGCACGAACGCUGCAGAUUAGCUGCAUGCAUGGGCGUGUGCUGUUAGUCUGUUAGUACGUGCAGGCUAAUUGCAUGGAUGUUUGGCCGGGUCUCACGGAGGAGGGAGUGGCUCACGACGAGAAGAGGCUGAUUCCGGAGGGAGUGUGUGCGUGGGUUAUGCAUGCGUGGGCGCUGCGUCAUCCGGUGUAUAAAGUCUAGACGAUGUAGUCCUCGAGUGGUGCCAAUCCCAGUGAAUAAAGGUUGCCAAGAUACAGGCCGGUACGCGGCCGCGGCGUUCGUCGCCAUUGCUCUGAGUUCGUGCUCGAGUUGGGUUAUCUUGUGCGUAUUGUUUCCGGGUUUGCGCCAACAAUUGGUAUUCAGAGCCACAAGGUUCGAGGGGCUGCCGUGGCGUGCGGCGGCGUCCGCGGCGCGCGCGGCGAGUCCACGGCAGUUCAUUGUGAUGUCGUGCGCGCGGCGAGCAUGCUGGUCGUGGAGGCGAGGAGGUCGCGGAGGACCUGCGUGGUGGCGCAGAGGCCGCGGUGGCUCGGCACGACGACCAUGGAGGCGCAGUGGCGCAAGGCACGGAGACGCGGCACGGCGGCGCACGGAGCUGCGGGUUUCGGCAGCGGCAAUGAGUGGCGCACGACUGGGCGCAGCGCGGCAGUAGCUGCAUCGGCGGCGGUGCGCGACAGCGGCCGGCGAGGUGGCCGCGUUGCACGGCAUCUGCGACGGCUCGUGCUGGAAGGACACGGUGGCGUCGGGCGGCAGCAACCAUGGCGACGAGCCUGUCGUGUCGGGCGCGUGUAUGGGUGCGCGCCGGGCGCGUAGGGCUCGUCGGGUCCACGACGUCUGGUGCAGUCGAGCUCGUCGGGCGCGUUCGGUGCGCAUGGCACGUGCGGGACGCACCAGUGCGGUUGGGCUCAUCGGGCGCGCCGGAUGCGCGCGGGACGUGCGGGGCACCGAGGGACGUUGGGCGUGUGUCGCCGGCGGAGAAGGAGCUCGGCGUGUGUCGCCGGAGUUGUGAUGCAGCACGGUGAGACCGACAUCGAUGCGCCAGGUCGGGUCCGUGGCGGUGUGACCGUCGUCGUUGCGUCAGGUCGAGUCCGCAGGCUGGGUGACGAUCGUGGCGACGACUUCGACAUGAGCUACUCCGGCGACGGCGAGGUCAUGGCUUAGGAGGAGAGUGUUGGCAAUAAGCCAUGUGUGUGUGCAUGGCGCGUAGGUGCGCGUGUGUGCGUCGCGUGUGUUUGUGCAGGAACGCUGCAGAUUAGCUGCAUGCAUGGGCGUGUGCUGUUAGUCUGUUAGUACGUGCAGGCUAAUUGCAUGGAUGUUUGGCCGGGUCUCACGGAGGAGCGAGUGGCUCACGACGAGAAGAGGCUGAUUCCGAAGGUAGUGUGUGCGUGGGUUAUGCAUGGGUGGGCGCUGCGUCAUCCGGUGUAUAAAGUCUAGACGAUGUAGUCCUCGAGUGGUGCCAAUCCCAGUGAAUAAAGGUUGCCAAGAUACAGGCCGGUUCGCGGGCGCGGCAUUCGUCAUCAUUGCUCUGAGUUCGUGCCCGAGUUGGGUUAUCU